GCUGCCACUACACUCUCUCUCCCCUCCCCCUCCCCCUCAUAUCGUCGCUUUUACCCUUAGCUCAGGGCUCCGACCUCUCAACCCCUAAAUCGAAGCUCGUCUGGAUCGUCUCGACAUCUGCGGUAUGGCCUCGUCGUUGGACCUAAGCCUCAAUCUUGCUGGAACAACACUGAUGGCGAGCCAGAGGUGAUGCAGAGGCAUUUGAGGAGAGAAGCGAAGAGCCCAAGUAGAGCAGAGUCGUCGAGAGAAGCCAAUUUCGGGUUCCGACCGAUGGAAAAUCGGAGAAUUCUCAGCAGCAGCAACUGCAAACUAGUGGACGCGUCAUCGGUAGAGAGUGGGUGAUCGUCGUCAGAAGUGAGUCCUCCCGGGCGGCGAAGUCAGUACGAAUUUGAUGAGAGUUUUAGUGGAAGUGAGUAUCAGAGGCUUCCUCCUCCCCACAAUUGGAAACAGUUGAGCUCUCUCUCUCUCUCUCUCUCUCAAGUUGGCUUCGACGUCCUCUUUGACUAUCUCAAAGAUACACAAACAGGACACAUGGGCCAGGGUAAAAGAAAACAGAGGGAAGAAAGUGAAGAAGAAGCAGAAGUUCUAGCCAGGAAGAAAAAGAAGAGUAGCAAGGAAAAAGGAAAUUUUAGAAAUUUGUUUAUGGCUUAAGAUGUCACUGACCUGGCUAAUUGUAAACUCUAGCCUACCAAAUCAAAUAACUUUUUUAUCUUUUUAUGGUGUCAUUAGUAUGUUUAGUUUUCCUUAAUGAGCCACCAGCGACCAUGAACUUUUCUUAUUGUAACGCACUACUGCAACACUGGGAUUUGCAGCGGUGCAAGAUGCAAUUCAUGAUAGAGUUAUUUUUUCUGGUUUGAAAAA